GACGAACGCUGGCGGCGUGCUUAACACAUGCAAGUCGAACGGAAAGGCCCUGCUUUUGUGGGGUGCUCGAGUGGCGAACGGGUGAGUAACACGUGAGUAACCUGCCCUUGACUUUGGGAUAACUUCAAGAAACUGGGGCUAAUACCGGAUAGGAGCUCCUGCUGCAUGGUGGGGGUUGGAAAGUUUCGGCGGUUGGGGAUGGACUCGCGGCUUAUCAGCUUGUUGGUGGGGUAGUGGCUUACCAAGGCUUUGAUGGGUAGCCGGCCUGAGAGGGUGAACGGCCACAUUGGGACUGAGAUACGGCCCAGACUCCUACGGGGGGCAGCAGGGGGGAAUAUUGCACAAUGGGCGGAAGCCUGAUGCAGCAACGCCGCAUGCGGGAUGACGGCCUUCGGGUUGUAAACCGCUUUCGCCUGUGACGAAGAGUGAGUGACGGUAAUGGGUAAAGAAGCACCGGCUAACUACGUG
rnacentral:rRNA from 1 species